rnacentral:rRNA from 1 species
CCUACGGGCGGCUGCAGUGGGGAAUAUUGGACAAUGGGCGAAAGCCUGAUCCAGCCAUGCCGCGUGUGUGAAGAAGGCCUUCGGGUUGUAAAGCACUUUCAGUGGGGAAGAAAGCCUUGGGGCUAAUACCCUCGAGGAAGGACAUCACCCACAGAAGAAGCACCGGCUAACUCCGUGCCAGCAGCCGCGGUAAUACGGAGGGUGCGAGCGUUAAUCGGAAUUACUGGGCGUAAAGCGCGCGUAGGCGGUCUGAUAAGCCGGUUGUGAAAGCCCCGGGCUCAACCUGGGAACGGCAUCCGGAACUGUCAGGCUAGAGUGCAGGAGGGGAAGGUAGAAUUCCCGGUGUAGCGGUGAAAUGCGUAGAGAUCGGGAGGAAUACCAGUGGCGAAGGCGGCCUUCUGGACUGACACUGACGCUGAGGUGCGAAAGCGUGGGUAGCAAACAGGAUUAGAUACCCUAGUAGUC